UACGUAGGUGGCAAGCGUUGUCCGGAAUUAUUGGGCGUAAAGCGCGCGCAGGCGGUUUCUUAAGUCUGAUGUGAAAGCCCACGGCUCAACCGUGGAGGGUCAUUGGAAACUGGGGAACUUGAGUGCAGAAGAGGAAAGUGGAAUUCCAAGUGUAGCGGUGAAAUGCGUAGAGAUUUGGAGGAACACCAGUGGCGAAGGCGACUUUCUGGUCUGUAACUGACGCUGAGGCGCGAAAGCGUGGGGAGCGAACAGG
rnacentral:rRNA from 1 species